rnacentral:lncRNA from 12 species
CCAGAAGCUAAGGUGUUACUUCACCCAGCUUCACAAAAUAAAAUAUAGAAAUGAAACCAACUAAGCAGACAAAACAGCAAAACUCUCUGUUUGGGGAAACACAUCCUUUGCCGGGGAGCCCUGCCCGGGGCUGGGGCUCCAGCGGUGCCCGGCCGGGCUGGCUCUGCAUGCUCAGGGCAUGCAAAGCAUUAACAGGUACCUGCAAACUUUCAGAGCUCAGAUGUAAAACCUGAAAUAAAAAGAGCAGGAGGUGGGUGGGGGGGGGAUGUUUCAGGGUUUUUUGGGUUUUUUUUUGCAGGAGGACGAAGUCCUUUCCUAGCGCUAAAACUUUUGCUGCUGCGUUUUAAAAGGCACCUCCCGUACCUGGCUGACAGGUAAGGGGAGCAGGGGUGGUGGUGGCACAGCCCCGAGCGCCCCGAAACUGCUCACCCCUUCCUGGAGCGGUGCUGGAGUGACUUCAGGUUUCGGUUAAAAAGAUUGAAAAAAAUUAAAAAAAAAAAAAAAAUUCGCCCCAAGUAUAAACAAUCCAGAAAAAUUAAAAUACUCUCGAAAUGAAAUAAGCCCACUGAUGCGUGAGGUGGUAUGAGGAAAAAAACAGAAGAGGGGAAAAAAAAAAAGGAGAGAAAAUGAAAUUAAAUUCCAAACCUACCUGCGAAGUCUUGUUUGUAGUUUUGGCCAGAAAUGCUGAGAAGAAAAAGCAUGAAGAAGCCGCGAAGUGGAGUAGAAAAGGUGAAGGGAGAUGCAGCUCCUGGAGAAAUUGUAAAAAGCCUUGCAAAGAGUUGUCGGAAGGACCGUUAUUCCUGCUGGGCAGGUUAGGACUGAUCUCUUUCUGCCACUCCAGGAAACACAAACCUGGGGACGGACUGACGUGUUACGCCUCUUCUAAUGACAUUUUUUUCUUUUUCUUUUCUGUACGAGCGAGAGGAGAGACCCUGCAACACACGCCACCUAUCUUUGUGGGGAGGGAUAAUUGGAGAGCACCAAACAUAUGGAUCAGGGGUGAGAUGGGCUCUUUUCCUGGCUCUGCUCUUUCGUGGAAGUAGCUGGAUGAGCAGAGAGACAGCGUGGAAGAGUAACGCGUGGGGCUGAACUUCAGGGAGGUUACAAGUUUUUCACUUUUUCAAGUAUUAAAAUUAAAAUAAAAUUACAUAUAGAAAAAAAAAAAAGAAGGGAAAGAAAAAAAAAAAAAAAAGAAAAAAAAAAAAAAAGAAGGGAAAAAAAAAAAAAAAAAAAAGGAAGCCCAGACUCCACCUUUGCACUGAAGGGAUUGGUUAUGCAAAUAUGGAAGGGGUUUCCUGGCAAAUACAGCUUUCUACUGUAUGGUUAAUUAAAUCAUCACUCAAAAGCCUUCCAAUGUGACGCUUCUGUCGUAAUCCAAUCAGGUUAC